UGUAUUGUACUAACCGGAAGUAUAUACUGUUUCCCGGCCGAGGACAAAUUACGUGAAACACACGUAAUGCGAUGGCGCCAGCAUGAGAGAAAUUAACAAGCAGAUUUAAAAAAAAAAAAAUGAACUGGUACAUUUUAUUGUUUACGAUGAUGUUUCCUUUUAUGCACUCAUCCACCAUCAGACGGAGGCGGAUUUUGCUUUGCACAAUUUAAAAUCAACAUUGUGGUUGUAGCUAUGGAUAUAGCCCCUCCCCAUCCUCUACAUAAGGGAAGCUGCGACCGUUGAGCGCCUGAAGUGUCCAUCAUUCCACGCUUCGUUUUUUCGGUUGAAUGAGUGCAUCAUCCGGGAACUUAAAGUGCACUUUGUGUUUCAGUGAGGAUGGCAUUCGACAAGUGCUUGAAGAAAAGAAAGCUUUAUACGAGCAAAACCAAAGUGAUGUGAAUGAAGCCAAGACUGAGGGCAAAACUGAACUAAUACCAACCAUCAAGUUUCGUCACUGCAGCUUGUUGAGGAACCAGCGCUGUACUGCAGCCUACCUUUAUGACCGGCUCCUGCAAAUCCGUGCUCUCAGAUGGGAGUAUGGAAGUGUGUUGCCCACAACAAUUCAGUUCCACAUGUGUGCAGAGGGCAUGUGAUUCAUUUUUAAUGCUAGUAGUAUCAGGGUUGUAUCCUAGUACUUUAAUCAAUGCCUCCUACAUCUGUUAACUCACGUUCCCAACCCUAGUGUACCCCUUGCCCUACUCAUAUUAGUGUUUUCUCUGCUCCCAACACACCUGAUACAAUUAAUCAGGUGAUGACCUUGAUGCGUUAGUAUGGAUGACUUGGAGCAAGGAAAACAAACAUGCUGGACAGGGAAUAGUCCAGGACCAGGGUUGGGAACCUGUGUGUUAACUCAUUAGCUGAAAAUUGAUCUAAGGAUGCAUCAACUCUUCCACUGUGAUCAGAGGAAUAAAAAUAAAGGUAGGCUGGUGGGUGGGAGGUAAAGAAGUAUUGUACUGGAAAAAAAGAAUACUAAGUGUAUAAUAUUAAGGUAAAAAACAAGGGCUAUAAAUGAAAACUCUUGGCUCUCAGAUGUGCUUGUAUAUUAAUAAAAUAUGCUCAGGUGUGUAGAGUGGUGUAAAUGCUAGAACAUCAACUUAAACAUUGAUUUAGUCAUAGGAUGUACAAGUACAAUAAUGUUCUGAUUGAAGUUAAUUUAGUAAUCACACUGUAUAUUCAGAUCCAUUAUGGCCAGUGACUGGCAAUACAGUUGUGCAGCAAGUCCUCAAUAAUCAACAUCACUUUAAAGUAGGGCUGUCUCUUUUGGCAAAUUUGUUUACUGCUGAACCUUCUCAUCACCCCAUUAUUGCAUUCCUCACAUCCUAAGUGAAAACAUAAGGUAGAGAUGCAAGGAGGACGAAGAGGCACAAUUAAUGAAAUCAGGAACACCCCGGGUUUGUUCCUGAUUUUCCUGUUUUGAACUUUGGAUAAUUGCUUUUUUCAAUCACCUGCUAGUUGGAGUGGUUUAAUCAGUACAAGAAGUCACUGGCCACAUAUAUGAGGUCACUUGGAGGAGAGGAGGGUCUGGACAUAACACAAGACAUGAAACCCCCUAAGAGCCUGUAUAUUGAGGUGCGCUGCUUGAAGGAUCAUGGGGAGUUUGAAAUCGAUGAUGGAACAGUUAUUCUCUUAAAGAAGAAUAGCCAGCAUUUUCUGCCCCGAUGGAAGUGUGAGCAGCUGAUUCGGCAGGGAGUACUGGAACACGUCAUUUCUUAACAUGACCUUUUUCGCGGGUUUUGAUAGUUAAUAACUUUAAAUUAACAUUUUGUGUCUGUCAAUUACAUGAAUUUCAGUAAUUCAAAGAAUUUAUCAAAGCAGUGUCCACUUGUUUUGCUGCAUGAAAUUUUACUGUCAAACUGUACAGUGAUUUCAUGUGUACAUCAUCUAUAUCACACUGCUGCUAUGGCUUAAGCAGGUCCAUUUUUCUUUUUUGAAUAAAUGCUGUGAAGGUGAUGAUACAGUUGAGAAUAAUCAAUAAAAUUACAGCUUUUGCAAAA